rnacentral:lncRNA from 1 species
CUUGGAGCCUUCUACCCGCACCCCAAUCUCCUGCCCCAACAGGCUGGGUCCCUCCCGCCCCUCCGGAGCCCUGCUCUGGCUGUUGGCAGCCUCCCCUUCUCCUCUGCUGCCUUGGAAGGUGUGGGAGCCUCUGCGGGGUCCCGCCUCUCCCUCAUGCCACACUCUCCCCUCUGUGCCCUUGCUCAGCCCCAAGUCCCCUGGCCACAUCGCAGGUGGCAGGCGCUCACAUUGCCUCUGCCAGCCCCAGAGCCCAGCCCCGGGCACCUCUACCACCUACGGGGUCCUCAACUGUAGCUCUGCCCCUGGAGGACUGUGGAAGGCUGCUCUGGCUAGAGUGACCCGCCAGGUCCAGGGAUGCCCUGUGGGGACAGGGAGGAGCUUGGAGCUGGGCGAGGGGGCGCCGUCCUCAGGAAGGUUGCCCAGCCGCUCGCUGCAGCUCUGAGGUUUGGCAAAGCUUCCACUCUGCCCAGCUGGUGUUUGUGUGAUCAUUUCCUUGCAAUGACGUGGGUUCCACUGCUCACAGUCCCCGGGGCAUGUCAUCCCUUCCAGCCCACAACUUCCGGGUAGAUGGUGCCGGGGGUUUACUGAAGGAGACAAUCGGGGUGUUGGAUGGAAACCUGCCCCUCAGGGCAAGCAUCUGGGGUGGGGACACAGCACACGCAGCCUCCAGCAAACACGAGGGGCCGGAAGGGGCUCAGGCCCAAGUGCGCCCUCACCAGACCCGCUCCCCACACGCACGCACACAAGCUUCCUGCACACACACGCUCCCGCACCAUGCGCCCGCCUCAGCCCUGCGUGACUGUCCCCCAGCCUCGCCCCUCCCGGCCGGCCGUUCCUGUUCCAGCGCCUCCUCCUCCUCCCCAGGCUCGCUGGCUCU